rnacentral:rRNA from 1 species
UACGUAGGAUCCAAGCGUUGUCCGGAUUUACUGGGUGUAAAGGGUGCGUAGGCGGUCGGGUAAGUCUGAUGUGAAAUCUCACAGCUUAACUGUGAAACUGCAUUGGAUACUAUCCGGCUAGAGGAAUGGAGGGGAGACUGGAAUACUUGGUGUAGCAGUGAAAUGCGUAGAUAUCGAGAGGAACACCAGUGGCGAAGGCGAGUCCCUGGACAGGUCCUGACGCUGAGGCACGAAAGCUAGGGGAGCAAACAGG